rnacentral:rRNA from 1 species
ACAUGCAAGUCGAGCGGAUGAAGAGAGCUUGCUCUCUGAUUCAGCGGCGGACGGGUGAGUAAUGCCUAGGAAUCUGCCUGAUAGUGGGGGACAACGUUUCGAAAGGAACGCUAAUACCGCAUACGUCCUACGGGAGAAAGCAGGGGACCUUCGGGCCUUGCGCUAUCAGAUGAGCCUAGGUCGGAUUAGCUAGUUGGUGAGGUAACGGCUCACCAAGGCGACGAUCCGUAACUGGUCUGAGAGGAUGAUCAGUCACACUGGAACUGAGACACGGUCCAGACUCCUACGGGAGGCAGCAGUGGGGAAUAUUGGACAAUGGGCGAAAGCCUGAUCCAGCCAUGCCGCGUGUGUGAAGAAGGUCUUCGGAUUGUAAAGCACUUUAAGUUGGGAGGAAGGGCAUUAACCUAAUACGUUAGUGUUUUGACGUUACCGACAGAAUAAGCACCGGCUAACUUCGUGCCAGCAGCCGCGGUAAUACGAAGGGUGCAAGCGUUAAUCGGAAUUACUGGGCGUAAAGCGCGCGUAGGUGGUUUGUUAAGUUGAAUGUGAAAGCCCCGGGCUCAACCUGGGAACUGCAUCCAAAACUGGCAAGCUAGAGUAUGGCAGAGGGUGGUGGAAUUUCCUGUGUAGCGGUGAAAUGCGUAGAUAUAGGAAGGAACACCAGUGGCGAAGCGACCACCUGGGCUAAUACUGACACUGAGUGCGAAAGCGUGGGGAGCAAACAGGAUUAGAUACCCUGGUAGUCCAC